AGUUUCAGAGUGAUAUGAGAUGAAAUAUAGCUAGAAAAGAGGGUUGAGAAGACGAGAACACAAAAGGGAAGAGAGGGAGAGAGAGUGAAGGGGGGCUGGGCAAGUAGAGAAGAAGAUAAGUGAAAGCUAGGAUGUUUCAACACCGAAAUUUUUUCUUGGUCGAAAAUCCUUGAUUACCCCAAAAAAAAAAGAUCACUUGUUCUAUAAGAUCAAAUACAUCGGUAUUUCUGAAAAACCCAGUGAGCCAGACUCAAUUAUGCGUGGUUUUUGGUGAUAUGAGAGAUGAGAUAAACUUUCUGAUUACAAGUGAUUUGUUAUUAGAAAGGCAAAGAAAGAGAUGGAUAGAAAUAGAGAAGCAAGAAGAGUGGGUAUGGCAGCUAGUAAUGGUUUGUCUAGAAGAAGACACAGAAGUAGCAGCCUAAGAGACUCUCCAGAAGAUGAUGGACCAGUGGAGUUGCAAGAAACAACGAAGCUGCGAGAUCGAAGAAAGGAUCGAGAUCGAGAUCGGGAUCGGGAUCGGGAUAGAGACAGGGACCGGGACCGGGACCGUGAGAAAGACCGAGAUAGAGAUCGUAUUAGCGGCAGGAGUAAGAGGAGGAGAGGGGAGAGACUGAUGCACGGGAGCAAUAAGGAAGAUGGAGAGCGAGACGAGACCUCAGACGAAGAGAGCGUUAAUGAUGACGAAGAUGAAGAUGACGAUGAUGCGGUUGGUGUUGCAGGAAGUUCCAUGAGGAUGCUCCCACCGAACCCUUCUUCUUUAUCUUCUUCUUCUAUGUCUAAUCAUCAUCAUAGGAAGAGCUUUCCGCCGCAGGCAAAAGUUUUUAGAGCCGCGCCGACGAUGACGAAUACCACUGCUGCAGUUACACCGUGGAAGGCUACUGAUGAGAUGAUUGGUGUGUCGGUUCCUAGAAAAGCUCGGUCAGCAUCUACAAAGAGGUCACAUGAAUGUUGGACUUCAAGUGGUGGAGUUGGUAGUGAGCAAAUUCACCGUCAAGCUUCAAUAUCUCCGGUAAGAUCGAGUGGACCAGCUAUGUUAGCUUCAGCUUCAGCUUCUCCGGCGGCUCCUGUCUCUCCUCCAUCAUCUUCCAAUGCUUCAGUGAAAAAGAAGAUGAAACCUAAUGGACCGAAACAGAGACCUCCUAAAUCUUCUUCAAAAUCUACUUCUGCACAAGAUGAGAUUGAGUUUGAGAUCGCUGAGGUGUUAUAUGGGUUGCUGAGGCAACCUCAAGGAGCUACAAAGCAAGAAAUCAUGGGAAAUGAUUCGAUCAAGUUUGAUUUCAGAGAAGCGAACCACAAUAAAACUACCAGUGAUGCUAAAUCCAGAGUUUCCUCACCGAUCUCCAACUCACAGUCCACUGUUCCUCAGCCAUCUUCUAUCCCACCAUCUAAUUCUAGUUCUUCUGCUGCUCCCAUGUCUGCAAUUGCACCUAAGAGGAAAAGACCGCGCCCAGUCAAGUAUGAUGACGAGCAUCCCACAAACUUUCCUGCUCGUAAUAGUUCCAUUUUGUCAAUAGCCAAGGUUGACGUUGAUCAGCCUGCAAGAAUUGAUUCUUCUAAUUUAGAGAACUCGGGAUCUGCAGCGGAAAAUGGUGGAGUUUCACAUGAUUUAUUGGCUAAUCAAGCUGCUCCCGCAAUGACAGAGGCGCAGCUGCAGGAGGCGGUUAAGCUGGAGAAUCAUCCGAUAUCGGAUUCUAAGCCCACGACUGAAGAAUCAGAAUGUAGAGAUUUGGGUGGACUGAUAGAAGAAACACGGUCUCCGAAGAAGGAAUCUACUCCUAGUCUUAGAUUGGGUGAUGAUUGCGAGAGUUUGACAGCAAAUAAAGCGAAUUUGAUGGUCUCUGAGAUUGAUAGUCAGCGAGAAGAGAAGUUUCAGAUAGAUCUGAUGGCUCCUCCUCCAUCAAGGUCAUCUCCAGAAAGGGACAGUGAGAUUGAUUUUGUGGCCGUAGAUCCUAAAUCUAUGGUCACAUAUGGGGAAACGGAAAAGAAGCCUGUGAUGGUCAAAGAAGAUGAGAAAGCAUUGAAAGUUGUAAAGGAAGAUAUAAAUGUGGAACCUGUAGAGAAAAAGACAAAAGUUAUUGGCGAACAAGUUGAAUCCCAGAAGCCAAUUGUUAAUAAAGAGAGGAAUAUUGAUCUCCAGCUUGAUCCAGGGAAGGGUGAUAGAGAUAGCGCCACUGUUACUAUAAGUAGAAAUAAGCUGCUUCAGCAUGUGCAGCAGCAGCAGCAACCCAACACAGAGAAAAUUGCGCAAUCCAGUUCUUUACCUUUGCCAAUGUCCAUGACUGGCUGGCCCGGUGGGCUUCCUCACAUGGGAUAUAUGGCACCUCUACAAGGAGUUGUAUCCAUGGAUGGAAGCACUGUGUCUUCUGCAGCCAUACAGCCUCCUCAUUUAAUUUUUAGCCAACCACGGCCAAAAAGGUGUGCAACACAUUGCUACAUUGCAAGGAAUAUUCAUUGUUACCAGCAAUUUACAAGGAUGAAUCCUUUCUGGCCACCAGCUGCUGGUUCUGCUUUACAAUAUGGGGCUAAAGCGUGCAAUAUGAAUGUGGUGCCAUCCGCUGACUUGCAUGCAGGUAGAGGUGUGAAUUCUGCGCAAGAAAAGGGACAGAGUCUUGCCAUUUUUCCUGGUCCCUGUGGGAAGGAGAAGAAUUCUCAAGGUGCCAACAUUGCAGAAGCUGCACAGAGAAAGCAGAUUUUGCUCCAGCAAGCCCUGCCGCCAGGUGCUCCUAGUAAUAUCAUGCAUGGACCCACUUUCAUCUUCCCAUUGAAUCAACAACAAGCUGCUGUUGCUGCUGCUGCAGCAGCAGCAGCAGCUUCUGUCCGACCUGGAAGUGUGAAGUCUCCUCCUGCUGCAGGCAGUGUGGCCUCUUCAAGUGUCUCAAGUUCUGCUUCAAUGAGUUCCACAGCAUCAGCUAUAGCUGGUCCUACACCAAUGAGCUUCAACUACCCGAAUCUCCCAGGCAAUGAAACCCAAUACUUGGCAAUUAUGCAGAAUGGAGCGUUCCCGAUUCCCAUACCUGCUCAUGUUGGGGCCGCAGCAGCUUAUAGAGGAACCCAUCCUCAGGCAAUGCCUUUGUUUAAUGGAUCGUUUUAUUCUUCUCAAAUGCUCCAUCCUUCACAGCUUCAGCAGCAGCAGCCAUCCACUAAGACACAACAAAGCCAACAAGGCCAUCAAAAUCCGAGCAUUACCAGUGGUUCCUCAUCAUCCCAGAAGCAUUUGCAGAAUCAGCAGCAGAGAUUGUAUGGCAGUGGAGUUGGUGGAGAUGGCGGAAAUCUGCAAGGUUUUCCUGGCCCUAAAAACCAGCUGCCCCAUUCCCUGCCAAACCAGCAACGGCAGCAGAUGCAAAAUCAGAAUGUUUCUCACCAAGCUCGUCAACUCGAGAGUGAAUUUGGUGGUGAAGACAGCCCUUCAACUGCUGACAGUCAAGUCUCCCGUCCAAAUAUGAGUCAUUAUGGCCAGAAUUUAAUGCCAAUACAUCCAGCAAACUUUGCUUUGAUGAAUCCCACACCGAUGAGUGGUGCCCAUAGUGCAAGUGGCAAUACUAGUGAAAAGAAACCCCAGCAACCACAAACACAGAUCUCUAAGGCUGGGGCUGAACCUUCAACCUCUCAGGCUUUUGCCAUGUCAUUUACUUCCAUCAAUGGAACCACUGCUUCCCCGGGACUUGAUUUUUCAUCAAUUGCACAUGAUCAUGCUCUUCUACAAAGCCUCCCAGAGGCAGCAAGGCAUGGAUAUCACUUAAUUGCUGCUGCCCAAGCAGCACAGCAGAAGAAGAAUUACCGUGUUUCUGAAGAAGGGAAAACUGGAGGAAAUGACACUUCUAACGUGGAAGAAGAGAGGAAGGCCAUUGCAGGAGUAAAGGCUCCAUUAACUGCUGGGCAGUCAAUUGUGUUCUCUCGGGCAGAUUUAACGGACUCCCCCAUUUCAACAAUGCCAGUCAACAAUGUCAUUGAUAGCUCAGCCCGAACUCUUAACCUUGGGACUACUCCUGCUCGGACCUCUGGCUCUGUUAUGUCAGCUACUAUCAGUGGUGCAAAUGCACCAAGUAUACAGCAGCAGAUGCAGCGGAAUCAGCAGCAGCAGCAGCAGCAGCAGCAAAUUCUUCAGCUUCAGAAGCAGCAGCACCAAUUUGUGGCUGCAGCUUCCUCUCGUAGUAAAACCCCAGCAACUAGCAAUGGAAGUGCUUAUCCCGAUCAUAUUUCAUCAUCAUCAGCCAUGGCCACCAAGUUCCCUAAUCCACUUUCUGCUUUUCCUCAAAAUUUUGUUCAAAACAGCAGUAGCCCUGCUCAAUCACCCCAGUGGAAAAAUUCCGUGAGGACCACCACCUCUCAAGUUCCUUCUCCAUCUCUAACCCCAGCUUCACCAACCCUCAAAAAUCUUCCCCAACAACAAGGCCGAACACAAGGAGGUCACACACAGAUAUCUUUUGCGGCUAACCAAAAACCAUCUGCUUCGCCACAAGGGCAACCAAAUCCCAGCAGUAACCAAUCCCCAUCUCCUCCGAUGAUGGUUGGUUCUCCCACAACAUCAAUUUCUAAGAGUGCAGGUGGAAGUCCGAGGACAUCCGCUUCCACGGGUAACAAAGGUGGUCAAUCUUCUACGUUAUCAUCUCAACAAUCCAACUCUGCAUCAGUACCUGUGCAAAAAUCGUCUCCAGUUGGGGGAAGAAAUGUUCCAUCAAUCCUUGGUCAUCCUCACAACACCUCUUCAUCUAACUCUGGUACAAAGCCUCAAAUGUCACAUCAACAGCCGCUAUCAAAGCAUGCACUCCAACAGGCUCAGGCUCAGCUAAUGUACACUAAUGGUUAUAUGCAAGCUCAUGCGGCAAGUUCAACAAAUACUACACCAGCGGGUGGUGGGUUUUAUCUCCAAAGACACCGUAGUGAUCAGCAGCAGCAGCAAUCACAAGGCACUUCAGCUACCUCCUCUACAGGGAUGUUGUCAUUAUGUCCUCCAGUCACACUUGCCUUUACCAGUAGUACUGAUCCUGCAAAGGCAGCUGCUAACAAUAUGAAAGGAGGUGGCUUACCUUCACAGGGUCUUAUCCAUGCCCAAUUUGCUGCUGCACAUCCCGCUGGAAAGCCGCAUCAGAUUUUACCUGCUGGCUUCUCUUAUGUUCAUCCUGUUCCCACUGUGGUUCAGGUGAAACCGGCAGAGAAGAAACAACCUGCUGGCGAAUAGAAUCAUGUGCCUGGUGCUUUAGAUGGCAACCUGCGGAUCGGAGAAGAUUGAAAAAGACUAGUAGAUUGGUUUGAUUGGGGAUUUUUCAAUUUAUGAAGGGAAAGCAAUUAACAAGCCAAGGAAAUGACAUUUUGAAUGCCUUCUGGCAGAAUGAAGGGGUGAGAAAUGUUCAAGGAAGCACGCCAUGUGGAUCCGAACCCAAAUUUUGGUAAAAUGAAGUUGAACCAAUGGGGGCAGUAAUGUUGUCUGCUGACUGGACUUGCUCGCCGUGCGUAUUAUCUCUCUCUGUACACCUGUGUCUAUAGGCUGACAGGGUUGAUGGUCAGGUCUAGUUAAAUUUGAUUGGUUUGAUGACGAGAGGCUGGGAAUGAAAAGACAUGGGAAAAGAUUGGUUCAAGUGUUUUUGUAGAGAAAAAGAGGAAAGAUGGACGUGGAAAGGUGAAGAAAAAGAACUACCUUUCCCUCUCAUGGAUACACCGGCGCACCUUGCCUGAGGAAGGUUCAAACUUGAAAACAAGAGCUCCGAUUUUGGCUUGCAAUUAUUUGGUUUUUCACUUAUUAGUGUAGUGUCCAUGUUGCAUAAAACCCUACUUUGCCUUUGCGAAAUCGUGAAGUACUACCACGUCAUCUCUUGACCCUUGAAAAGGGGUUUGUCACUUUAUGGUCUUUGUCUUGCACGUUGCCGUUGCCGUUGCCGUUGCCGAUUCUUGUGGAUUGAAUGUGAUGACGUUAUCUCUCACAAUGUAUUGCUCUGUAAUUGUCUUUAUUUGUUUGUUCUUUCUUUGUUGUUUUUUCAGAGGGGUGCUCUGUGGCAUGUAGUUAUCUUUGCGGUAAAAUUAAAAGGAGGAAGCAUGUACGAGAUUUAGUUAUGUCUGCAGGUGCUUAAGAUUGUAGGAGGAUCGAUUUUUAAAAGUAUUUUUUAUUUAAAAAUACAUUAAAAUAAUAUUUUUUUAAUAUUUAUGUCUUA